rnacentral:rRNA from 1 species
CAGGUGGUCAGGUAGAGAAUACCAAGGCGCUUGAGAGAACUCGGGUGAAGGAACUAGGCAAAAUGGUGCCGUAACUUCGGGAGAAGGCACGCUGGUGUGUAGGUGAAGUCCCUGCGGAUGGAGCUGAGACCAGUCGAAGAUACCAGCUGGCUGCAACUGUUUAUUAAAAACACAGCACUGUGCAAACACGAAAGUGGACGUAUACGGUGUGACGCCUGCCCGGUGCCGGAAGGUUAAUUGAUGGGGUUAUCCGUAAGGAGAAGCUCUUGAUCGAAGCCCCGGUAAACGGCGGCCGUAACUAUAACGGUCCUAAGGUAGCGAAAUUCCUUGUCGGGUAAGUUCCGACCUGCACGAAUGGCGUAAUGAUGGCCAGGCUGUCUCCACCCGAGACUCAGUGAAAUUGAACUCGCUGUGAAGAUGCAGUGUACCCGCGGCAAGACGGAAAGACCCCGUGAACCUUUACUAUAGCUUGACACUGAACAUUGAGCCUUGAUGUGUAGGAUAGGUGGGAGGCUUUGAAGCGUGGACGCCAGUCUGCGUGGAGCCAACCUUGAAAUACCACCCUUUAAUGUUUGAUGUUCUAACGUUGGCCCCUUACCGGGGUUGCGGACAGUGUCUGGUGGGUAGUUUGACUGGGGCGGUCUCCUCCCAAAGCGUAACGGAGGAGCACGAAGGUUAGCUAAUCCUGGUCGGACAUCAGGAGGUUAGUGCAAUGGCAUAAGCUAGCUUGACUGCGAGCGUGACGGCGCGAGCAGGUGCGAAAGCAGGUCAUAGUGAUCCGGUGGUUCUGAAUGGAAGGGCCAUCGCUCAACGGAUAAAAGGUACUCCGGGGAUAACAGGCUGAUACCGCCCAAGAGUUCAUAUCGACGGCGGUGUUUGGCACCUCGAUGUCGGCUCAUCACAUCCUGGGGCUGAAGUAGGUCCCAAGGGUAUGGCUGUUCGCCAUUUAAAGUGGUACGCGAGCUGGGUUUAGAACGUCGUGAGACAGUUCGGUCCCUAUCUGCCGUGGGCGCUGGAGAAUUGAGGGGGGCUGCUCCUAGUACGAGAGGACCGGAGUGGACGCAUCACUGGUGUUCGGGUUGUCAUGCCAAUGGCACUGCCCGGUAGCUAAAUGCGGAAGAGAUAAGUGCUGAAAGCAUCUAAGCACGAAACUUGCCCCGAGAUGAGUUCUCCCUGAGACUUUAAGUCUCCUGAAGGAACGUUAAAGACGAUGACGUUGAUAGGCCGGGUGUGUAAGCGCAGCGAUGCGUUGAGCUAACCGGUACUAAUGAACCGUGAGGCUUAACCUU